UUUCAAAAUGUAAAAGGACUUGUACUAUUAAUGGUGUCACAAUUAUUUUACAUCAAUUUACCAAAGAAUUAAGUUUGAAAAUAUAAGUAACAAUUUCAAAGCAUCAUUAUUAUCAUUCAGGGAACAUGAUGCAUGGUCGCAUUGUGGAUACUGACAUUGCAUAUUAAAAUGAAAAGGUUAAGAUCUCCUUGUAGGUAUUUAAAAGAAAGUGAAUAAGUUCACUAUAUUUGGAAUUCUUGAAUAUCUACUUCAUACCUUCGAAUUGUUGACAAGUGGUAUUUAUAUUUAAACCUUAUUGCACAAAAUAGGUAUACACAAGUGUUCAAAUUUGUUUUUCUAAAUUUAUAAAUUUAAUGCAGGUCUUGUCUAAUGACUCUAGUGAAAGCGUUUGUUGCACGGGAUUGGCUAAACAAGAACAGAUUACUUUUCGGUGUUGACACAAUAUUUAUUGUCUAAUAAUUUUGCAUAGUAUUCAGUUAUAUUUUUAAAAUUUGACUAGGUAUGCGAAGUUGAAAUAGUACAGUUAUACAUCUGUAAUACCAUGGAUUGUGAUGAAAAAUGAUUAUGAUUACAAUCCAGUAAUAAACCACAAAUGAAACUAUGAAUUAUUGUUGCUAUGAAAUACAAUUUAUUUGUGGCUUUAUGGUUUCAUUUGCAUAAAAACUUAACAGCUGGUGAUGCCUAAUUAAGUUAAUCAAAUGGACGGAUCCUAGAGGUCAUAAAUUGUGGAAUUUGGGUUGCUAAGAGGUGGGUAAUGGUCAGGAAUAGUGUCGGUCGAAUGCAAAAGCAGAUUACUUGUGUAUACAUUAUCAAUUAUAAGAGGGUCCAUUUAUAAAAUUAAAAUGUUGGCAAGAGCAGUGCCUGUUUGAAAAGACAAGACUUAAAGAAUUCUCAUUGAAGAUUGACUUAAAGAGUAAGGUCGAUGAGUGGGUACAAAUAAUGUCACAAGUUUUAGUGCAGGGUUUUAGUAUGGUUUUGUGCAAAAGUCUGUGACUGAUUUAAACAAAAGACUCAACACCAGAGUAAGUUGAAUGAACGAAUCUAAAAGUAUAUAACAUUCAAAUUUAAAGAAGCCUUAUAAAGUAGGCUGUGUAGAAGUAACUUGGAGUAAAUUUUUAUUUUACAUUUCUUUUCAAUUCAUUAAACUUUGAAAGUAUCCUUAAAAUUUGGUUUAUUGUUAGGUUUAACACAUGGUACAUUUAUGAUUUUAUGACGAAGACACAGUGAUGACAAGAGAAAUAGAUUGGUGAUAUUAACCAUGUGAACCAUGAUUCAUAAACACAACAUUUAUGGUUGCAGUUUUACAGCCAUAGCCGAUUGGCUCUAACUAUUAAAAAAAAGGUGUAUAAAUAUAUUGGAAUGUAAUUACUUCCAAUAGUUUCAAUAAUAUAGUAGGUUGGGUAAUGACGCUAGUAUUUGCUACGGUGUACUUGGUGUAGUAUAUGCUUGUACCUAUUUGGAGCCUUUUCUUUCCGGGUGCAUGUGACCCCGAGGUUUAGUGUUGCGUUUUUUACCAUCCCUGUGGCUGAAUAUUACUAUGGUGAAAUGUUGCACGAAGUUUAGGACGAAACAUCAGGACCAUCAGGUUAUUGAAUAAAUAUCUGUUUAUAUAAAUUCAACAAAAUAAAACAUGAUUUGAAUGUAAUCUUCUCAAAGUUGAUAAAUUGAUGAAUAUUUAUUAUUUUAUUUUAUUAAUGUUGAGGAUUUUUGAUGAAGAUAAUGAUUGAUAUCCAUGACGAUAUUGACGUCUAAUUACAAUUUUAGUAACGAUGAGUAGGUGUCUAAUACAAAUACUUUAUUUAUAACGCUAAGGAAGAUCUUAGGUACCAGAGGUCCGAUAAUGAUGAUGAUGUAGGUAUAUGACUGAACAUGUCUACUAGUUAAGUAAGUGUCGAUGUCGGCGACAAUGUUUGCUCCAUGACUAUGACAGGGUCAAUAACUGGCCAUAUCGAUGAUAAAAACGGAGCUGGAUGAUUUCCAUGACAAUGUCGGCGAUAAAGCUUGACUGACCACUUUGAUGACGAUAUAUAGAUGACGUUUAUAGUAAGAUUAAUUGAUGAUGGUAAUGAUUGACUGGUUCCAUGUGUAUAAUCAAUGAUUAAAUUGUUGACGAGGACUGAGACUAAAAUGAUCGUUGCUACUGCCAAUAAUUAUAACAUUUGUUUUUAUUUUUUUUAUGUUACAACGCUGGUAACCUGGCUGAAUGGAUGAAGUUGAUAAUGAGCGAGGGCUUCGCAGCAAGAGCUGACUGAAGUAAAGGAGGUUAAACUGUUAAGACGGUGCUGCCAGAAGUGGGCAGGGCCCAAGCUGCCGAUGGACAGGGCCACAGAGCGAGGAACCGACAUACAUACGUGCCGUGUUCAAGAUUACUGCCUUCUGCAUCUGAUCCUUGAUCCAGCGACCAGCGAGAGUAUCUACAGGUGUUGUUUUGGACUCUUAGCUGAUAAGAUUGCUAUUAUAUUAAUAUUAUGAAUCUAGAAUAUAACCGUUGAGUUUUGGCAGACUGUCUAGUGCAGGCCGUAAUGGCAGACUGUCUAGAGCAGGCCAUGACUGUUUAUUAUGUUAGUUUAUGCUUUGGCAAAGUUAGGUUCUUGUAAUAUGGGCCUUGUUGUCUGAUCCAAAUAAAUAUAUAUACAUAUUAGUUUAUACUUUGACAAACUGUCCAGCGCAGGCCUUGAAGGCAGACUGUCUGGGGCAGGCUUUGAUAGCAGACUGUCUUCUAGAGCAGGCCGUGAUGGCAGACUGUCUAGACAACUCAAGUCUAGAGCAGGCCAUAACAAUUUAUACUUUGGAAUGAUAUCUAGAGCAGGCCUUAAGGGCAGACUGUGAAUGUUUAUGAUGAAUUAUACUUUGUCAAACUAUAGAGUAAGCCUAAAUGGCAGACUGUGAUUGUUUAUGAUAAAUUAUACUUUGCCAAACUAUUUAGAGCAGGCCUAAAUGGCAGACUGAUUGUUUUGAUGAAUUAUGUUUUGCAAAUCAUUUAAAGCAGGUCUUAAUACUGUGAUUGUUUAUGAUGAAUUAUGUUUUGCCAAACUAUUUAGAGCAGGCCUAAAUGGUCUUAAUACUGUGAUUGUUUAUGAUGAAUUAUGUUUUGCCAAACUAUUUAGAGCAGGCCUAAAUGGCAGACUGAUUGUUUUGAUGAAUUAUGUUUUGCAAAUCAUUUAAAGCAGGUCUUAAUACUGUGAUUGUUUAUGAUGAAUUAUGUUUUGCCAAACUAUUUAGAGCAGGCCUAAAUGGUCUUAAUACUGUGAUUGUUUAUGAUGAAUUAUGUUUUGCUAAAUUAUUUAGAGCAGGCCUUAUAAGGGUAGACUGUCAUUGUUUAUGACGUUUUAUACUUUGCCAUACUGUUUAGAGCAGGCCUUGAGGGCAGAUUGUGAAUGUUAAUGUUGGCUUAUACUUUGGCAGAUGUCUAGACCAGACCAAGACUGUAAGUUAGUUCAUAUGUAUUGAAAG